CAAUAAAAAUAUGCCAAACAAAUUAUCUCAAAGCCCUUAUAGCUCAGUGGUAGAGCGUCAGUCUUGUAAACUGAAGGUCCGUAGUUCAAUCCUGCGUGAGGGCAUCUAUUUUAGCUUCUUCCUCUCUCUUCCUUUUUUUUUUAUUUCCUUCUCCCCUUUUCAGCUUCUACCCUUCUUCCACCAAUUCAAUAAACCCUUGGAACUCUGCCCUAAAUUUCUCUUCCAAACUCCCCAAAACAAAAGAACCCAGAUCAACGAUUCAUUCUUCAACAUGCUCACAUUCCCAAAAUUUUAAUGCAAAAUCCCUAAAUCUCUCCAUUUUUUAAGUCUCUUUCCUCUCUCUCCUACCCAGAAAAUGGCUCGCCUUUUGCGAGAACUCAUACGCAAACCAUCUUCCAGUAGAUUCAUUGCAACAUUCACCCAUCAAAACCCCUCCAAUCUCUCUCCUCCAUUGUUUGUUCAUCAAUCAUUUUUUGGUCAAACCAAGUUUGACCAUGGAAAUGGCUUAAACCCUGUGAAUCAGGGUUUAACAGAUAAGUUGCAGAUUUACCCAAGUUUCUCAUUCGGGUUUUUCAUGGACCCGAAUUUGCAAUCUGGGUUGGGCUCAUCUCUGCUGGUUGUACCCGAGUUGGAGCAUUCUGGAAUGAUGUGGGCUGAUAGUGUGAAGAAGAAGAGGAAGAAGAAGAUGAACAAGCAUAAGUAUAAGAAGCUCAGGAAACGUCUUCGUCGAAAGACAAAGACUUGAUCAGGUUUCCAUGUAUAUUAUGUCGAGCUACCACCUUCAUUUGGUAUUACCAGUGAGGUAACUUUGCCGAGCUUCAGCGCUUCAUUUUUGACAGGCAUUCAAAAAUUCUUGGCUGUCUGCACGCGCCAUAUUCUGCAUUUUUGGCUGAGUUUCUCUGUUGUUUCUGCAAUGUAGACAUGGAUAGACACGCUUAAUUUCAAGCCUGUACCCUAUAUUCUUGUUUUGGGCUUGAAAACUGUAGGGUGUCAUUUCCGGUUUUCUUUUUUGCUUUAGGCGAAGACUCCAGUAGGAAAUAACGAGGAUACACACAUCUGUCAGCUUCAAAAUUUCCAGUAAGCUGCCGAUUUUGUUAGUGGUUUCAUUUUUCAAGUUGUUCUACAUGAUGUUUGUAGCAAGCAUCCUCCAAUUUUUUUUUCCAAAAGUAUAAGAUUUAAUAAUCUAUAUCAA